UGGGGAAUCUUGGACAAUGGGGGCAACCCUGAUCCAGCCAUGCCGCGUGAGUGAUGAAGGCCUUAGGGUCGUAAAGCUCUUUCGCCUGUGAAGAUAAUGACGGUAGCAGGUAAAGAAACCCCGGCUAACUCCGUGCCAGCAGCCGCGGUAAUACGGAGGGGGUUAGCGUUGUUCGGAAUUACUGGGCGUAAAGCGCACGUAGGCGGACCAGAAAGUUGGGGGUGAAAUCCCGGGGGCUCAACCCCGGAACUGCCUCCAAAACUAUUGGUCUAGAGUUCGAGAGAGGUGAGUGGAAUUCCAAGUGUAGAGGUGAAAUUCGUAGAUAUUUGGAGGAACACCAGUGGCGAAGGCGGCUCACUGGCUCGAUACUGACGCUGAGGUGCGAAAGUGUGGGGAGCAAACAGGAUUAGAUACCCUGGGUAGUCCACACCGUAAAACGGUGGGCGCUAGGUGUGGGGAUCGUUUCC
rnacentral:rRNA from 1 species